rnacentral:rRNA from 1 species
CGCGCAGGCGGCCCUUCAAGUCAGGCGUGAAAGCCCCGGGCUUAACCUGGGAAUUGCGCUUGGGACUGAAGGGCUAGAGUUCGGGAGAGGAGAGUGGAAUUCCCAGUGUAGAGGUGAAAUUCGUAGAUAUUGGGAAGAACACCGGUGGCGAAGGCGGCUCUCUGGACCGAUACUGACGCUGAGGCGCGAAAGCGUGGGGAGCAAACAGGAUUAGAUACCCUGGUAGUCCACGCUGUAAACGAUGUGCGCUAGACGUUGGAGGGCGUAGCCUUCCGGUGUCGCAGCUAACGCUUUAAGCGCACCGCCUGGGGAGUACGGCCGCAAGGUUAAA